rnacentral:rRNA from 1 species
ACUCCAUGAAGUCGGAAUCGCUAGUAAUCGUGGAUCAGAAUGCCACGGUGAAUACGUUCCCGGGCCUUGUACACACCGCCCGUCACACCAUGGGAGUGGGCUGCAAAAGAAGUGGGUAGCUUAACCUUCGGGGGGGCGCUCACCACUUUGUGGUUCAUGACGCAAUGAUGUCUGUCGUUGUGUUAAUACGAAAAAAAUUGAGUUCUUAAAACACUUGUUAA